rnacentral:ncRNA from 1 species
GCGCCGGGACGACCCGCGCCGUCGAUGACAAACCGCGGGACGACCCGC